rnacentral:rRNA from 1 species
GACGGAGGAUGCAAGCGUUAUCCGGAUUUAUUGGGUUUAAAGGGUGCGUAGGCGGGGCUUUAAGUCAGUGGUGAAAUCUUGCAGCUUAACUGUAAAAUUGCCAUUGAUACUGAAGUUCUUGAGUGCGGUUGAAGUAGGCGGAAUGUGUAAUGUAGCGGUGAAAUGCUUAGAGAUUACACAGAACACCGAUUGCGUAGGCAGCUUACUAAGCCGUAACUGACGCUGAGGCACGAAAGUGUGGGGAUCGAACAGG